rnacentral:sRNA from 2 species
CAACACCUCGUCCAUGUGUAUGCACAGGCAAACACAACCGCUUUCCGUUUAAUAUUUUGUUGGCUUUUAGACUCGUCCUAGCUCAAGGCCACCAUGGCGACUUUAGCAGACGAGCUAUUGAACGAUUUUGAGGAGUCUGGCUCUGAGGAUGAGAGCACACUCGCCAACACCUUGUUCCCCGACAAAGCUGCGGAAUCUGAUGCUGAUGGCUCUGCUAAAGUUCGAGGCGAAGGGAUGGAGCUUGACGGAGACGAAGAAGAAGUGAACGAUGAUGACGCAGAUGCGGAUAUCGCCAUGGACCCAACCGGGAAAUUAGACAAAGAGAUGGGAGAAGCGGACGCUACCAAGGCGAGGGUCGAGAAAAUGCGGUUCGGGACUGUGAGCGAUGUACGAAGCGUGGCGAGCUUAAUGAAAACGCUCCAACCGAUUUUAGAUAAAGUAUCUUAUUACCAAUCCCUUCCAUCGGAGAAAAGAACGACGUCUAUCGGCUCAAUCGAAGAUAAUCCAGAGUACCAUCUACUUACUGAAGCGAACUCUCUUUCAACUUCGAUCGAUAACGAGAUAAUUCUUGUCCACAAGUUCAUCCGAGAUCACUAUUCUACUAGAUUUCCGGAGCUGGAAACUCUUAUCACAAACCCUCUGGACUACGCCAAGACUGUUGCAAUUUUACAGAAUGGGCCCCUUGACGAUAUCAAGUCUUUGUCAACCUCAACGGAUAAUCUGGUUGGCGCGACUCUGAGAUCCGUUCUUGAUGGACCUUCUUUAAUGAUCGUCGCAGUGGAGGGAACAACAACUCGAGGCCGGGAGUUGUCCCCAUCAGAACUCAAGACUGUCCUAGACGCAUGCAAAAUGAUGCUAUCACUUGAUCGAGCUAAAGGGAUCCUUACCGACUAUGUACAAUCGCGAAUGAAUGUCUUUGCACCGAAUCUAACGGUUCUCAUUGGAUCACUAACUGCUGCACAACUUCUAAACUAUGCUGGAGGUCUUACAGGGUUAGCGAAGACCCCUUCCUGUAAUAUCCCGCCAUUGGGAUCAAAAAAGCAAACAGGCACCGGCUUUGCAACUAAUGUUGGGGUGAGACACCAAGGAUUCUUGUACCACUCACCGAUCAUUCAGGAAAUCCCAAACGACCUGAAGCGGCAAGCGAUGCGUAUCGUGUCGGCAAAAGUGGUUUUGGCGGCUAGAGUCGACCGAGUGCAUAGCAGCCCGGAUGGAUCCACGGGUGAAGAACUGAAACAAGCCUGCUUGGAUCGUCUUGAGAAACUGACCGAGCCCGCUCCAAAUAAGGGACCACGUGCCUUACCUGCGCCUGAUGAUAAACCGUCUAGAAAACGGGGUGGACGAAGAGCGCGAAAGGCGAAAGAAGCGACAGCGAUGACAGAUAUCCGCAAAGCACAGAAUCGUUUGGCGUUUGGAAAGGAAGAAAAGGAAAUCGGAUACGGUACUGGAGAGGGUACGAAAGGGUUGGGUAUGCUUGGUCAAGAGGAUCAUGGCCGGAUACGUGCGAGCCAAAUCGACCAAAGAACCAAGGCUAAGCUCAGUAAAUCCAAUAAGGGAUGGGGAGCUGCAACGCCAAUCGGUGGAACUGCUUCAUCGCUUCGAGGCUUUGGACAAGCCGGAAAUGCAACAGUAUUGCGAGCACAGGGACUCCGUACUGCUGGUGUUGGACCAUCACUCGGCGCUGGUACUGGAAUAGCUAGCUCGAUUGCCUUUACCCCAGUCCAAGGCUUAGAGCUUGUCGAUCCAAAGGCCCAAGCCGAACUCAAUAGGAAGCGAAAAGCCGAGGAGGACAGAUGGUUUAGGAGCGGGACGUUCACACAGCAAUUAGCGCCCUUUUCCUCGCCGCCUUUUUUAACCAACCAUCAGUUUGUCGUGGAAGUUACGCACCAAUCAGAAAUCAGAAAAGGGCGGCAGAACGUCUCGCGCUAAUUGUGCCUCGCCCCCAGACGAGGAGAUAGGAUGCACAGUGUGAUACCAGGCGUUAGUUAUCCAUGGUAAACCAGGUAUUGUUAUACAGAAUAUUUGAUGUACUGUACAUAUGAGGAUGUCUGGCAAAAAAAAAGAAAGAAAUUGUAAAUUUUUUAAUUUGCAUGGGGUGUGUGCACUUGAGGUCGCUUUAAGUAGCCCUCCCAAAAGAGGCACAAUGAACCACCCCGAAGGGCAAAGAUGAGGAUGCGCAUCAAAGGUACUCCUCAUCUUAUGACAC